UGCCUUUAUUCAUUUAAAAUUAUUUUUAAUACAAGAAUUUGGCAUAGUCGUAAUUCAUUCAGUGAGGAACAAUUGCCAAAUAUGAAAACAAUGUUGUAGAAAUCCACAGGGCAGAGUGCAGAAAGCCCUAGAGGGAAAUAAGAAAAGUCUCAUAGAAUGUGUACAGAGCAACUGUGACCCUGUCAUGCACAGAGUUCUUAAUUUUCAAAUCAUCAUGGAAUAUUCUGGAAAACCACCCUCACCACAAAACUUCAACAAAGGCUCUUGUUCUCGUUCAUGUACCCUCUAGCAACUAAAAAUUUAUUGAGCAGUGGGGCAAAUAAAGAGUCUAGAAAAUGUGAUAGAAGAUCAGAAAGUACCAUUUUACUAUUAGAUACACUGAUGUUCUAAUGAAAUCCUGGUCUUACAAAAACAACUUGUUUCUGGAAAGUUGAUUAGAGAAGUCCAUUUAAAUACAAAGGCUUUGGGGCGAGAAUGCUACUGGCUCAGCUUGUAUGACAGAGCAACUUAUCUCCCAAAGGUCACUGCACUGUCCCUCAUGAUGGCAUUAAACUUCAACGUCCUAGAGGUUAGGGAGAAAAGUACUCUCUGUUUUAUUGUGAAACCAAAGUCCAAACAGAUUGAGCUACAGUCCAUAGCACAACCAUUGCCAUUAUUUUCAAAAUGACUUUAAUUUCUAGAGGAGGCAACAGAAGCAAAACUGAGGAACUAGCCACCUGGGAAACUUCACUUCCACAUCACCAAUGCUCCUGCUCUGUCGCCCAUAUAGUCAUGUGCCUCAUAACCAUAUUUUGGUCAACAACAGACCACAUAUACCAUGGUGGUCCCAUAAGACUAAUACCAUAGAGCCUAGGUGUAUAGUAGGCUACAGCAUCUAGGUUUGUGUAAGUACACUCUAUGAUGUUCACACAACAAUCAAAUUGCCUAAUGGCAUUUCUCAAAACAUAUCCCCAUUGUUAAGCGACAUACAUCUGUACUGAUUUUAGUUUUGCAAAUGUUGAAUAAGGAAUUACUCAUUUUAAUUAUUUGAGUCAGCCUCUCUGAUUGACAAUGAUAAAGGUUGACUGAAGCAAAAAACUAAAAUUUGCUAUUGAAUAUUCACAAAGCUAAAUAAGUGUAGAACUUUAAGUUCUAUAUCUGGAUUCAUGUAAGGCAAAAACAUUCUAUAGGGAAGAUGAAUUUGAGGCCAUAUAUGAUCCUGAGUGUAAAUGUCUCGGGACAGGCAAAAAUUCCAGGCAGCAUUUCAGACUUUCAAGGCAGUAGAAUUGGUGAGACCCAAGUCAAGUUCUCCAAAGAGUAAAGGAGGACCCAGGUGAUAUCUGGGGUACAGAUGAAAGAAGCAGAAAAUUUCAUUGAAGUAAAUAUAUGAUAUGAUGAAAGGGUGGAGCUGGAAAACAGGAUGACAGGCAAGGUAUAGAAGGACAGAGAGGGCCCAGGAGGGGUGGAGAGAUCUGCCAGUCUGGGGGGUGGGGAAGGGGCUGUGGGUACCCCUCUUCAUGCUGUCCCCUCCCCCACACUCUAAAACUCUUUGUGACACUUCAAUGCUCUGUAAUGCAGGCCUGGGACUAUAGUCAAAUGACUGCACCCUCAGAGCCCAGUUCCCUCAGGUAGCCUUGUGAUUCAGACAAUGGAGUUCAGACAAGGGACUUUUCUCUCAUUUCUGAAUAGCCCUAUUGAGUCAUGUCUGAGCUUUGGGUCAACAUUCCUGGAUACUCAUUCCAACCUCACCUUCCUAUGUGGGUUGGGGUUGCUCCUUCUGUUCCUGGGCUACCUGGUGGGGAUUCCAACUUUACCAACCUUCUGGAAAACCAAAGACUUCCAAAAGCGUAAGGGCAGAGCCAAGAGGAGAAGGAAAAGUGGAACAUAGAGAGAAGGGCAUGACCUGAACGACAGAGAAGAUUAAUCAACUACCAUCAGUUUCCAUGAAGAGGAGGACUUCUUGCGGGUUCCGGUGAGACAGGAUUUGCUAAGGCAGACAGCAGCAGGGAAAACUCCUGGUGAUAGGAUCUGUUAGAGCAAAGGACAGAAGACAAAAAGAAGGCUGUAUGCCUAAGAAGUGAUCUGGACCACAAGUGCUGUAAUUAUAAGCUUACAAUGUUGCCACACUGCUUUGUGAAACAGAUUUUUGCUGUUUAUUAAUUAUUUUUCCUUGUUUCAGGUUUGAUAUUUUUCAUGAUGUAAUAAACAGUGGGAUCUAGGCU
ensembl:lncRNA